rnacentral:lncRNA from 1 species
AGUUGGCAACAAUAUAUCCUAAAAAUAUUAAAAUGUUACAUGUUUAUGGGGGUGGGGGGAAAUAUGAGAAAGAAGGAUACUAUAACUAGGAAAAAUAAUUUUAAAAUGUGCACUCCUGUGGGACAAAAGGUAAUGAGAUUUCCUGUGAUAGAUUGUAUUAUUGCUAACAAAAUAAAGUUUGCUAUCCCUCCCUGGGAAUAUUAUACAUUUCAUUUCCAUUUAUGUCAGGCUAGGCCACAAAACUUACUUUGCCCAGUGAAAGGUUAGAACCUGAGAAGAUGUAAGAACCAAUGCAUGGUUAACCAAAAAUUUUUUCCUUUUCCUGUUAAGAUGACAAGCAAUAGUAGCCAGAAUCCUGGAGUGAAUAGACAUGGAGAAGAGCUGCCUUUUCUUCUCAACUGACAAGUCACGUGGAGGAAAUAAAUCCCUUGAGGACAGUGAAGAAAUAACUUUGAGAUCACCUUCCCAUCCUUCCGAUUUCUUCAAUGAGAGCUUAAAUGGAUUUUCAAAAAAUCAGAGAGCUUGGACAAAAAGUUGAAACAAGUUCAUAUCCUAAGCAUGAUGAAUAAGCCAUGGCAGCUUACACAGACUUGAAGGCCAACCACCUAUGGGCUAGCACAAAGGAGUUCAGCCUUUUUUGAAGUGGGUGGUUUGACCUCUCUUUAUUGUGGAAGCAAAGCAAAUGGCCCCAAACCAUCUGGAUCUGCUGUUAUCACUAGAGGAAUUAUUGCCCAGAAUGUGGACCAAAGGUUAGAAGACUCCACAUUGGAAUCCUGGGUCCGCCGUUAAAUAAUGAGGAACAAGCACUACCUCAUAGAGAAAUGGAAACUCCAAAAGAUUAAGCAAGAAGCCCAUAGGAACACAAUUAGUAGAGCACUGAAUAAUAUUUCACUGUCCUGAUGUACCAAGUUUAUCCAUUCACCUACUGAAGGACAUCUUGGUUGUUCUAUGUUUUGGCAAGUAUGAAUAAAGCUGCUAUAAAUGUUUAUGUGCCAGUUUUUGUGUGGACAUAAAUUUUCAGUUUAUUAGGGUAAACACCAAGGAGUGUGAUCGCUGGAGAGUAUGGUCAAAGUAUGCUUAGUUUGGUAAGUGGCUGUACCAUUUUACAUCCCCAUGAGCAAUGGAUAAAAUUUCUUGGUGCUCUACAUUUUCCACAGCAUGUUCUGGAUUUUGACCACUCUAAUUGGUAGGUAGUGGUAUCUCGUUGUUUUAACUCACAUUUCCCUGGUGACAUAUGAUGUAGAAGAGAAUCUUU